UAAUAUACAGACUCGACAAAGCCACACCUC
rnacentral:piRNA from 1 species